GGACUCACUUUGCAGGACCUCUAUUCAUUUCAGAAAAAUGCAGAGGAGAUUAGCAUGGCCCCAGUAUGAGGUAACAAACAAAUUAGUGAAGCAUUCCUUAUUUGA